UUACUUUUCAGUGAAUACAUAGCUGAUUAGAGGUAGACGCAGAGAACUGAAACAUCUUAGUACCUGCAGGAAGAGAAAGAAAAUUCGAUUCCCUGAGUAGCGGCGAGCGAAACGGGAAGAGCCCAAACCAACAAGCUUGCUUGUUGGGGUUGUAGGACUCCGAUAUGGUAGUCUGUUAGUAUAGUUGAAGGAUUUGGAAAAUUCCGCUAAAGAGGGUGAAAGCCCCGUAGACGAAAUGCUGACAACACCUAGGAGGAUCCUGAGUACGGCGGAACACGAGAAAUUCCGUCGGAAUCCGCGGGGACCAUCCCGCAAGGCUAAAUACUCCCUAGUGACCGAUAGUGAACCAGUACCGUGAGGGAAAGGUGAAAAGCACCCCGGAAGGGGAGUGAAAUAGAUCCUGAAACCGUGUGCCUACAACAAGUCAAAGCUCGUUAAUGAGUGAUGGCGUGCCUUUUGUAGAAUGAACCGGCGAGUUACGAUUGCAUGCGAGGUUAAGUCGAAGAGACGGAGCCGCAGCGAAAGCGAGUCUGAAUAGGGCGAAUGAGUAUGUAGUCGUAGACCCGAAACCAUGUGAUCUACCCAUGUCCAGGUUGAAGGUGCGGUAAAACGCACUGGAGGACCGAACCCACGUACGUUGAAAAGUGCGGGGAUGAGGUGUGGGUAGCGGAGAAAUUCCAAACGAACUUGGAGAUAGCUGGUUCUCUCCGAAAUAGCUUUAGGGCUAGCCUCGGAAUUGAGAAUGAUGGAGGUAGAGCACUGUUUGGACUAGGGGCCCAUCUCGGGUUACCGAAUUCAGAUAAACUCCGAAUGCCAUUCAUUUAUAUCCGGGAGUCAGACUGCGAGUGAUAAGAUCCGUAGUCGAAAGGGAAACAGCCCAGACCACCAGCUAAGGUCCCAAAAUAUAUGUUAAGUGGAAAAGGAUGUGGGGUUGCACAGACAACUAGGAUGUUGGCUUAGAAGCAGCCACCAUUUAAAGAGUGCGUAAUAGCUCACUAGUCGAGUGACCCUGCGCCGAAAAUGUACCGGGGCUAAACAUAUUACCGAAGCUGUGGACUACACCAUUAGGUGUAGUGGUAGGAGAGCGUUCUAAGGGCGUUGAAGGUCGAUCGUGAGGACGGCUGGAGCGCUUAGAAGUGAGAAUGCCGGUAUGAGUAGCGAAAGACAGGUGAGAAUCCUGUCCACCGUAUGACUAAGGUUUCCUGGGGAAGGCUCGUCCGCCCAGGGUUAGUCGGGACCUAAGCCGAGGCCGAUAGGCGUAGGCGAUGGACAACAGGUUGAUAUUCCUGUACCAGUUGUUUUUGUUUGAGCAAUGGAGGGACGCAGUAGGCUAAGGAAUGCAUGCGAUUGGAAGUGCAUGUCCAAGCAAUGAGUCUUGAG
rnacentral:rRNA from 1 species